rnacentral:sRNA from 1 species
UUCAGCAGACCUCAUGGCAUACUCAGCACGAGAGCAUGCAAUCCACGAGGCUUGGAGACACUCCGAGCGGUCCAACGAACUGUCGAAAGAGGCUGCUGAGCUCGCCCUACAGUCCGCCUACGAGUCGGCCGAGGCCCGUCGUUUAUUGGACGAGCAUGACAUCAUCGCGAUCGAAAA